rnacentral:rRNA from 1 species
UGGGGAAUAUUGCACAAUGGGGGAAACCCUGAUGCAGCAACGCCGCGUGAAGGAAGAAGGUUUUCGGAUCGUAAACUUCUUUGACCGGGGACGAUAAUGACGGUACCCGGAAAACAAGCCACGGCUAACUACGUGCCAGCAGCCGCGGUAAUACGUAGGUGGCGAGCGUUGUCCGGAAUUACUGGGUGUAAAGGGCGCGCAGGCGGGGGUAUAAGUCAGAUGUGAAAACCCGGGGCUCAACUCCGGGAAUGCACCUGAAACUAUAUUUCUUGAGUGCCGGAGAGGGAAGCGGAAUUCCUGGUGUAGCGGUGAAAUGCGUAGAUAUCAGGAGGAACACCGGUGGCGAAGGCGGCUUUCUGGACGGUAACUGACGCUGAGGCGCGAAAGCGUGGGUAGCAAACAGG